rnacentral:rRNA from 1 species
CGGGACACGUGGUAUCCUGUCUGAAUAUGGGGGGACCAUCCUCCAAGGCUAAAUACUCCUGACUGACCGAUAGUGAACCAGUACCGUGAGGGAAAGGCGAAAAGAACCCCGGCGAGGGGAGUGAAAAAGAACCUGAAACCGUGUACGUACAAGCAGUGGGAGCACGCUUAGGCGUGUGACUGCGUACCUUUUGUAUAAUGGGUCAGCGACUUAUAUUCUGUAGCAAGGUUAACCGAAUAGGGGAGCCGAAGGGAAACCGAGUCUUAACUGGGCGUUAAGUUGCAGGGUAUAGACCCGAAACCCGGUGAUCUAGCCAUGGGCAGGUUGAAGGUUGGGUAACACUAACUGGAGGACCGAACCGACUAAUGUUGAAAAAUUAGCGGAUGACUUGUGGCUGGGGGUGAAAGGCCAAUCAAACCGGGAGAUAGCUGGUUCUCCCCGAAAGCUAUUUAGGUAGCGCCUCGUGAAUUCAUCUCCGGGGGUAGAGCACUGUUUCGGCAAGGGGGUCAUCCCGACUUACCAACCCGAUGCAAACUGCGAAUACCGGAGAAUGUUAUCACGGGAGACACACGGCGGGUGCUAACGUCCGUCGUGAAGAGGGAAACAACCCAGACCGCCAGCUAAGGUCCCAAAGUCAUGGUUAAGUGGGAAACGAUGUGGGAAGGCCCAGACAGCCAGGAUGUUGGCUUAGAAGCAGCCAUCAUUUAAAGAAAGCGUAAUAGCUCACUGGUCGAGUCGGCCUGCGCGGAAGAUGUAACGGGGCUAAACCAUGCACCGAAGCUGCGGCAGCGACGCUGAUGCGUUGUUGGGUAGGGGAGCGUUCUGUAAGCCUGUGAAGGUGUGCUGUGAGGCAUGCU